CGGACGGGUGAGUAAUGCUUGGGAAUCUAGCUUAUGAGGGGGAGUAACUACGGGAAACUGUAGCUAAUACCGCGUAAUAUCGAAAGAUUAAAGUGUGGGACCUUCGGGCCACAUGCCAUAAGAUGAGCCCAAGUGGGAUUAGGUAGUUGGUGAGGUAAAGGCUCACCAAGCCGACGAUCUCUAGCUGGUCUGAGAGGAUGACCAGCCACACUGGGACUGAGACACGGCCCAG
rnacentral:rRNA from 1 species